UACGUAGGGGGCGAGCGUUGUCCGGAUUCAUUGGGCGUAAAGAGCUCGUAGGCGGUUUGGCAAGUCGGAUGUGAAAACUCCAGGCUCAACCUGGAGCCGCCAUUCGAUACUGCUAUGACUAGAGUCCGGUAGGGGAGUGUGGAAUUCCCGGUGUAGCGGUGAAAUGCGCAGAUAUCGGGAGGAACACCGAUGGCGAAGGCAGCACUCUGGGCCGGUACUGACGCUGAGGAGCGAAAGCGUGGGGAGCGAACGAG
rnacentral:rRNA from 1 species